rnacentral:rRNA from 1 species
ACGAACGCUGGCGGCGUGCUUAACCCAUGCAAGUCGAACGGAAAGGCCCUGCUUUUGUGGGGUGCUCGAGUGGCGAACGGGUGAGUAACACGUGAGUAACCUGCCCUUGACUUUGGGAUAACUUCAGGAAACUGGGGCUAAUACCGGAUAGGAGCUCCUGCUGCAUGGUGGGGGUUGGAAAGUUUCGGCGGUUGGGGAUGGACUCGCGGCUUAUCAGCUUGCUGGUGGGGUAGUGGCUUACCAAGGCUUUGACGGGUAGCCGGCCUGAGAGGGUGACCGGCCACAUUGGGACUGAGAUACGGCCCAGACUCCUACGGGAGGCAGCAGUGGGGAAUAUUGCACAAUGGGCGGAAGCCUGAUGCAGCAACGCCGCGUGCGGGAUGACGGCCUUCGGGUUGUAAACCGCUUUCGCCUGUGACGAAGCGUGAGUGACGGUAAUGGGUAAAGAAGCACCGGCUAACUACGUG